rnacentral:SRP_RNA from 7 species
GCCGAGCUCAGUAGCGAGGGCUUGUAACCCGUGCGGGGGCAUUAAGGGUGGUGCGGAUGCGCUUUAGUUACGACUCUUCUGGGCCUGGGACUCGGUGUAUGGGCAAGUGCCUUGGCCGCCGGCUUGCUGCCCGUCUCAAGUUGGGUACUUGGUGGCUGACGGGAGCUCUAGCGAAAGCUCGGCACCUCAUUGACGAUGAGGCUGGCUCAACAGAGCAGUGAUCACUGCCUCGCUGCCAACUGUGGGGAGGAUAGCAGGCCGGCUUUACACAUCGAGUCCAGCACGGGCCCAGAGUCUACGUCACUAAGCAGACCUCCAUCUUU